UGACGGUACCUGCAGAAGAAGCCCCGGCUAACUCCGUGCCAGCAGCCGCGGUAAUACGGAGGGGGCUAGCGUUGUUCGGAAUUACUGGGCGUAAAGCGCACGUAGGCGGACUUUUAAGUCAGAUGUGAAAUCCCAAGGCUCAACCUUGGAACUGCAUUUGAAACUGGGAGUCUAGAGAUCAGGAGAGGUUAGUGGAAUACCGAGUGUAGAGGUGAAAUUCGUAGAUAUUCGGUGGAACACCAGUGGCGAAGGCGACUAACUGGACUGAUACUGACGCUGAGGUGCGAAAGUGUGGGGAGCAAACAGGAUUAGAUACCCUGGUAGUCCACACCGUAAACGAUGAGUGCUAGUUGUCUGCAGGCAUGCCUGUAGGUGACGCAGCUAACGCAUUAAGCUCUCCGCCUGGGGAGUACGGCCGCAAGGUUAAAACUCAAAGAAAUUGACGGGGGCCCGCACAAGCGGUGGAGCAUGUGGUUUAAUUCGAUGCAACGCGAAGAACCUUACC
rnacentral:rRNA from 1 species